rnacentral:lncRNA from 1 species
CAUAGCAGCUGCUGUGCUGAACACCGCUCUUCCGGCACCGGUACAAGCUGCCGCACCAGUACAGGCCUCCUCGACGGCCCAACCCCGGCCACCAGCCCAGCCCCAGACGCUGUUCCAGACCCAGCCGCUGCUGCAGACCACACCUGCCAUCCUCCCGCAGCCCACUGCUGCCACCGCUGCUGCCCCUACCCCCAAGCCAGUGGACACCCCCCCACAGAUCACCGUCCAGCCUGCAGGCUUCGCAUUUAGCCCAGGAAUCGUUAUUGGAACCCUUCCAUGGGUAGUGAACUCAGCUAGUGUGGCGGCCCCAGCACCAGCCCAAAGCCUGCAGGUCCAGGCCGUGACCCCCCAGCUGUUGUUGAACGCCCAGGGCCAGGUGAUUGCGACCCUGGCUAGCAGCCCCCUGCCUCCACCUGUGGCUGUCCGGAAGCCAAGCACACCUGAGUCCCCUGCUAAGAGUGAGGUGCAGCCCAUCCAGCCCACACCAACCGUGCCCCAGCCUGCUGUGGUCAUUGCCAGCCCAGCUCCAGCCGCCAAGCCAUCUG